UACGUAGGGUGCAAGCGUUGUCCGGAAUUAUUGGGCGUAAGAGCUCGUAGGCGGUUUGUUGCGUCGGCUGUGAAAUCCCGAGGCUCAACCUCGGGUCUGCAGUCGAUACGAGCAAACUAGAGUGUUGCAGGGGAGACUGGAAUUCCUGGUGUAGCGGUGAAAUGCGCAGAUAUCAGGAGGAACACCAGUGGCGAAGGCGGGUCUCUGGGCAACAACUGACGCUGAGGAGCGAAAGCGUGGGGAGCGAACAGG
rnacentral:rRNA from 1 species